AUACCUUUCUCGGCCUUUUGGCUAAGAUCAAGUGUAGUAUCUGUUCUUAUCAGGAUAAUAUCUGAUAUGUGGACUAUUAGUUCACUCGAUAUUAAAUUUAUUUUUUGAGGGUGAGGGCCAUUGAAGUAGCUUGCUACUUGGUUUCUCAAGCAUCGUCCUUGCGUUGCACUUUUGCAAGGGUCUGGUGCAUCCCAU
rfam:Vigna radiata var. radiata cultivar VC1973A chromosome 11, whole genome shotgun sequence